AACGAACGCUGGCGGCAGGCUUAACACAUGCAAGUCGAGCGCCCCGCAAGGGGAGCGGCAGACGGGUGAGUAACGCGUGGGAAUCUACCCAUCUCUACGGAAUAACGCAUGGAAACGUGUGCUAAUACCGUAUACGUCAUUCGGGAGAAAGAUUUAUCGGAGAUGGAUGAGCCCGCGUUGGAUUAGCUAGUUGGUGGGGUAAAGGCCUACCAAGGCGACGAUCCAUAGCUGGUCUGAGAGGAUGAUCAGCCACACUGGGACUGAGACACGGCCCAGACUCCUACGGGAGGCAGCAGUGGGGAAUAUUGGACAAUGGGCGCAAGCCUGAUCCAGCCAUGCCGCGUGAGUGAUGAAGGCCCUAGGGUUGUAAAGCUCGGGCACCGGUGAAGAUAAUGACGGUAACCGGAGAAGAAGCCCCGGCUAACGUCGGGACAGAAGAAGAAGGAACAC
rnacentral:rRNA from 1 species